rnacentral:rRNA from 1 species
GGUUAAGCGACUAAGCGUACACGGUGGAUGCCCUGGCAGUCAGAGGCGAUGAAGGACGUGCUAAUCUGCGAUAAGCGCCGGUAAGGUGAUAUGAACCGUUAUAACCGGCGAUUUCCGAAUGGGGAAACCCAGUGUGACUCGUCACACUAUCAUUAACUGAAUCCAUAGGUUAAUGAGGCGAACCGGGGGAACUGAAACAUCUAAGUACCCCGAGGAAAAGAAAUCAACCGAGAUUCCCCCAGUAGCGGCGAGCGAACGGGGAGGAGCCCAGAGCCUGAAUCAGCAUGUGUGUUAGUGGAAGCGUCUGGAAAGGCGCGCGAUACAGGGUGACAGCCCCGUACACAAAAGCGCAUGUGUUGUGAGCUCGAUGAGUAGGGCGGGACACGUGGUAUCCUGUCUGAAUAUGGGGGGACCAUCCUCCAAGGCUAAAUACUCCUGACUGACCGAUAGUGAACCAGUACCGUGAGGGAAAGGCGAAAAGAACCCCGGCGAGGGGAGUGAAAAAGAACCUGAAACCGUGUACGUACAAGCAGUGGGAGCCCCACCACUAAGCCAGUGGUGAACUCCACAUACGCAUCCUUUGCUGAAGGUGCGGUUAACGGAGCGCAAGCGACGUUCAACCUCAAAAGAAGCAGAGGGGGCUUAGUGGUGGGGUGACUGCGUA